AGGCUCCUCUGCCUGUCCAGGUGGGGGACAGGGGUUCCCCGGCAACCUGCUGGUCCCGAAGGAGGGCAGGGACAAAGGAAAUCCGGAGGAGGGGGUGGCUCUCGAGGUUGCCAGCCUCAUCAUUUUGCAGAGGAGGAAACUGAGGCAUGCAGAGGUUAAGCGGUUUGUCCAAGGCGCCUGAGCAGGAAGUGAGGAGCCGGAUUCUAAGCCUGAGUCAUUUCCACUACUGAGCUGCCUUCCCAGCGAGAGUAAGAUUAAGGGUCAACCAUCUGGUGAGGUUCAUGAAAGAGGCGACUUCUUGUUUCCUCAGUGUCUAAUGCCGCUCCCCCAUUCAAACAAAAAUACAGAGGUACUGUGCUA